CCUACGGGAGGCAGCAGUGAGGAAUAUUGGUCAAUGGACGAGAGUCUGAACCAGCCAAGUAGCGUGAAGGAUGACUGCCCUAUGGGUUGUAAACUUCUUUUAUAUGGGAAUAAAAUGUUCCACGUGUGGGAUUUUGUAUGUACCAUAUGAAUAAGGAUCGGCUAACUCCGUGCCAGCAGCCGCGGUAAUACGGAGGAUCCGAGCGUUAUCCGGAUUUAUUGGGUUUAAAGGGUCCGUAGUGUGAUUGUUAAGUCAGUUGUGAAAGUGUGCGGCUCAACCGUAAAAUUGCAGUUGAACGUGGCAGUCUGGAGGACAGUAGAGGUGGGCGGAAUUCGGGGUGUAGCGGUGAAAUGCUUAGAUAUCACGAAGAACGCAGAUUGAGAAGGCAGCUCAAUGGACUGCAACUGACACUGAGGCUCGAAAGUGUGGGUAUCAAACAGGAUUAGAUACCCCGGUAGUC
rnacentral:rRNA from 1 species